rnacentral:rRNA from 1 species
UACGAAGGGGGCUAGCGUUGCUCGGAAUCACUGGGCGUAAAGCGCACGUAGGCGGCUUUUUAAGUCAGAGGUGAAAUCCUGGAGCUCAACUCCAGAACUGCCUUUGAUACUGGAGAGCUUGAGUCCGGGAGAGGUGAGUGGAACUGCGAGUGUAGAGGUGAAAUUCGUAGAUAUUCGCAAGAACACCAGUGGCGAAGGCGGCUCACUGGCCCGGUACUGACGCUGAGACGCGAAAGCGUGGGGAGCGAACAGG